ensembl:snRNA
GUGUUGAAUGAAGCAAGAGAAGCUAGCAUUUCCCUUGGCAAGGAUGGAAAAGCCAUUGGGUGUGUCAACAUGCAUUGACACCUACUUGUGCCAUCUAACCACAUUUA